AUUGAACGCUGGCGGCAGGCCUAACACAUGCAAGUCGAGCGGAGCGGCGGACGGGUGAGUAAUGCCUAGGAAUCUGCCUGGUAGUGGGGGCUAACGUCCGGAAACGGGAGCUAAUACCGCAUACUAUCAGAUGAGCCUAGGUCGGAUUGGCUAGUUGGUGGGGUAAAGGCCUACCAGGGCGACGAUCCGUAACUGGGCUGAGAGGAUGAUCAGUCAACAUGGAACUGUGAACAGGUCCAGACUCUGACGGGAGGGAGAAGGGGUGAAUAUUGGACAAUGGGCGAAAGCCUGAUCCAGCCAUGCCGCGUGUGGGAAGAAGGCCUUCGGGUUGUAAAGCACUUUCAGCGGGGAGGCGUUACCCGCAGAAGAAGCACCGGCUAACUCCGUGCCAGCAGCCGCGGUAAUUC
rnacentral:rRNA from 1 species